rnacentral:pre_miRNA from 1 species
AAAAAAAUCGGACCAUCGGUUUACCGAGUAACUUCAGUCGCUCGGUGGGAGAUCUUCUCUUUGUCGU